GGGGUUGUGGCUCAGUGGUAGAGUGCUCGCCUCGCAUGUGUGAAGCACUGGGUUUGAUCCUCAGCACCACA
rnacentral:tRNA from 1 species